GACGAACGCUGGCGGCGUGCUUAACACAUGCAAGUCGACAUGAGUGGCGAACGGGUGAGUAAUACGUGGGUAACCUGCCCUCCUUUUUGGGAUAAGCCUUGGAAACGGGGUCUAAUACCGAAUAAAGGGGGAUGGGCUAGCGGCCUAUCAGCUUGUUGUUGGGGUGAUGGCCUACCAAGGCGGUGACGGGGAGCCGGCAUGAGAGGGUGACCGGGAACAUUGGCACGGAGCUACGUCCCACGCGCCUACGUGAUGCAGCAUUUGGGGCUAUUGCAGAAUGGGUGAAAGACCGAUGCAGCGACGACGAGUGGGGGCUGAAGGUUUUCGGGUUCUAAACGUCUUUAGGUAUCGAAUGGGUAGGUGCAGAAGAAGCGCCGGCUAACUACGUGCCAGCAGCCGCGGUAAUAC
rnacentral:rRNA from 1 species